rnacentral:rRNA from 1 species
GGCUAUGGCCAUGCCACCCUGAACAUGCCUGAUCUUGGAAGCUAAGCAGGGUCGGGCCUGGUUAGUACUUGGAUGGGAGACCACCUAGGAGUACCAGGUUCUGUAGGCA